CGGACACCGAGCUGAGCAGCGUGACAGGGGAGGAGGGAGAUGGGGAUCUGGGGUGCCAGCAGCAGCCACCCGUGCACAGUGACUAGGAAGGCGCUUCUUCCUGUCACAGCAGAGGAACACAGAACCCCCAAAUCCCUAAUACAAGGCGGACCCCUGGAAGUGAAGAAUUUCGCCAUAGAGCAAAUGAAGAAUUGCAAGGACUGGAAAUACAAGUAAUUGGAAUUAGACCUUAAACGAGGAGGAGUGAUGGAAGAAAAGGAAAAGGGGAAUUAGCAGAAGAGACCAGGAGGCCCAGGCAUGGCUUGGCUGCGGGGUGUAAAUCACCAUUUCUGCAGUCUGACUUCACCCUCUAAAUAUACUGAACUCAGUAAAUCCCAGAACUGUAAAUUCAAGGUUGCGGAGGCCACAAGAUGUUCUUUAUCACAGAGAAUGGUCUAAGCCAGCGCCAGAGUCUCUCCACCCAGAGACCCAGCACAGACACAAGAGCUACAGCCACGCUUGGAAUGUAAGACACGAGGCACUGGGAGGGAGAGUACAGAUCAUCUGCUGCCAACAGAAAUAAUCCGGGAGGAACACGGGACCCUAACUUUCCUUCUCAAUUCACUAUUACAGAUUUUAGGCAAGUUCCGCAAAUCGUCGUUGACCUUACUCUCGCUCCGGUGUCUCCCACUCUGCAUCUCUGCAAGUAAACAAGCUGGCAGUCAUUAGUCUGACAAGACGCCCACUCCACUCAAGUGUGGUAGACAACCUCCCUAGAAUGUAGCUAUACAGGUAGCCAACAAUUCCAACAAUGACUCACAGUAUAAUCCUCUCUUAUUAUAGAUGGUAAUACAAUAGGGAUAUUGUUGGUUAGGAGAGGUUUGGUUGUUAAGUGGAUUAUCCACCUUCUGAUGACUUAAUUUUUGGGCUUGUACAUGAUCUGCUGGAAUUUUUACUAAAUUCAUUGCUUAAUAUGAGGGUAAUCCAAAAAAUAAAGACCGUUUGGCUGUAGAAUUUUUUUUUGGUGUUAAACAGAGGACCUUUGUCUAUUGCUACACAUAAUUACCUCCCUUAUUUAAGCAUUUAUCAUAUCUGUC